rnacentral:rRNA from 1 species
GGUAGGUGACCUGCGG